rnacentral:piRNA from 1 species
AGAUGACUGACUUGUGACUCCAA